rnacentral:tRNA from 1 species
GCCUCCUUGUAGCGCAAUGGAUAGCGCGUUGAACUUCUAAUUCAAAGAUUAUGGGUUCGAAUCCCGCCUGAGAUG